GGUCCUAACGUUACAACAACUGAUCCUCCACGUUCAGGACCUUCAGGCGGGCAAAUCGGAGGGAUUAUAGGAGGUCUGAGUGGCGUCAUUGUCGUUAUUAUUGUUGUUGUUGUAACUACGUCAAAUUGGCAUCGCAAGAAAAAAGCCGAGCGUGAGCGUGCAGGGAGGUGCUGAACACCAUUGUCCGCCAGUGUCUGCGAAAAGAAGUCAGAGAAUCUGCCAUGGGAGAAUCAUGAUCAAACUUGACUUUGAUUUCAAUCAUUUUUUUUAGGAUUAACAAUGUAAUGAUAAAAGCGAAAGCGUUUCUCACUUCCUAUUGCACUGCCCUAACUAUAGUAACCGACGUUGACUUCUAUUUGACAGACUAAGAAAUUGAAUAUAUCAACUCUUAAUAUAAAUGCCUUACCAGAAACAGCUACUGUAAAUUUGUUACUUAGGGGUUCGCAUCUACUCGACAACUAUUGCUCAGGUAUUAUAUAUAACUCAGUUGUAUUUGUUGGUAACGAAACUAUUUUCAUAGUUUAAUAGAUUUUCUGUUAUUAUAAUA